GGCCAGAGGGGCUCCUGCGCGCUCCCAGGUCUGUGGCGACGCCGACCGCCGUCCCCUGCCCGAGGCGCGCUGCUGUGGGAAAACAGCAGUCGCGGUAUUAAUGGUCCGGGCUCUACGACAGGCUCGACAUAGAAGGAGAUGGCUGAGGAGCCGGAGGCCGUGCUCCCGGUCCCUCCUUCGGGUGCGGCGGACGGCGAAGGGCCUACGGACGUCUCCCCAGGAACAGCCACGCCGGAGCCCCCUUCUUCCGCCGCAGUCUCCCCGGGAACGGAGGAACCUGCCGGCGACACCAAGAAAAAAAUUGAUAUCCUGCUAAAGGCUGUGGGAGACACCCCUAUAAUGAAAACAAAGAAGUGGGCUGUAGAGCGAACCCGAACCAUCCAAGGACUCAUUGACUUCAUCAAAAAGUUCCUUAAACUUGUGGCUUCAGAACAGUUGUUUAUUUAUGUGAAUCAGUCAUUUGCCCCUUCCCCUGACCAGGAAGUUGGAACCCUCUAUGAGAGGCCUGGUGCACAGAUUCUGCACCGGUGGGGUCCUCGGCCUGGCCUGCAGGGAUCAAGCUGAAACCAGCUCUCUGACAUCCCCCAAGGUGUCCCGGAUUAUGAGUGGGCAAUUCUCAGUGUUUUGGCAGUGAUGGUAAACUGGUCCUACAUUACUGCAAAUCUCAGGCAUGGGGAUGAACAACAGAGAAAAAGAUCUUGAUAACUAAAAAUGAAUCUUCACAAAGGACACAGCUCUGAAAAGUUUGAUACUUAUGGCAAGAUACUUGUGGAUAUGAUCUCAGCAUGUUAUCUGCUAAGACCCAUGUUUAUGCAUGUAAAAAAUCCAUAGAGUUGACCCACAAAAAUGUGAUUUGCAUUAAUACAGGAAUCAUCGUGAAAGAUUGACAUUAGAGUAUAUACAGUACUACAACUAUUGCUCCAGAUAUGCCUCCAGGAUAUUGAAAAGGAGACUAAGAUUGUAUAAAGCCUCUUAUUUAUUU